rnacentral:lncRNA from 1 species
CUUCAAUACUCAACGAAAUUGAGUGAAACAAAAAGGAAAGUUGUAGUACUUGACGAGACGAAGAGAUUGAUACCUACCUCGACUCUUAACUCGCCGGGGAUUCGCCGGAAAAAGCCUCGAAAGCUCCGGCCAAACUUUGAACUUGUCGAUCUCAGUGUUCUUACGUCCAAAAACUUCCCACGAAGCACUCCGAGCUUCCUUGGGACCUCACUAAGCUCACUAUAAGCUUAGAAUUCCCUGAAACACAACAUUUUACGUUCACAUGAACAGUGACCAAAAAUGGAGGUUCGGGUUUCACAUGAUUCCGAAGGUUUCACUUCCUAAAACUAGUACCAAUGAACUCAGAAUGACGAAAGGAUGAAGAUGCAUACCUUAGUUGCCUCGAUCCGUCGAGUUUUGGAGGAUUUGGGUGUAUGCCGUACGUUUUGGGUGAGAGAGAGUGAGAGAGAAAGAGGAAGUCGUGAGGGAGGAGAGAGAAUGAACUGAGAGAGAGACAAGGUACGGGAAAGAGGGAGAAAAUUGAGGGGUGUGGGAUCCUACCCAAUCCCCAACUACAAAAUUCUAACAUAAAUUUAAAUCUAAGUCUCCACUCUACUUACCAAAUUUUAGGAGCUUAGAUAUAACGAACAUAAAAAUUAUACCUUAGCCACGUAUUAGGGGCAUUUUCGUAAUUUCACAUCCUCGGAAUUAAAAAUUCCGGGACGGGCUGUGACAAUCUUCCCUCCUUAUAGAAUUUCGUCCCCGAAAUUCCAACAACCAAUCCAAACAUCUACUCAUACCAACCUCGGUAAAUCUCUCUUAUCCGAUUCUCUUUCUCCCACGUAAUUUUCUUCCACUGAAUGAUUUCCUUCACAAAGCUUUUACCACUUACUCUGUCUUAAUUCUCAAGACUUUCUUUUUCCAAUCCAAAGUCGUCCUUGGUUCCUUAUCAAUUCGAAUCCAAUUUAAUUCUCAAUAGUUGCACCAGAAUCUCAUGUGACGAAUCUGCCACCUAGUGACAACGUAUCGAACCCAAAAUACAUUAAGUACCUUAGCCAACUCUGAAGACAUCACCACUUGUAUGCAACUUUAUUGAUUCCUUUAGUGAUCAAAAAUGGUCUGAUGUGUCUAAAUCUUAUUUUGUCUCCUUUCCAACCCGAAUUAUACUUUUCUAUGGUGAACACUUCGAAAAUAUAAAACCAUUUGUCUUAUACACUCGAUUAGUGGCAUAUCCCUCUGUUAAUCUCUUUUGCCUCAAUCUGCUGACCAAAUAAAACUGUCGAAUGGUAUGAUAAAUCUUAUUACUUUUGGAAUAUUACAGAAGUUAAACAAUGUACUUCGUCCAAAAUUGCUUACUUUAAAUCCUUAGCAUUAGGCACAUACUUUUUGUUUUCUUGUAUCCACAUACCAUUUGAUUCACGAAUCAUGUACUCAUUCUUUUUCCCUUCUUUCUCUGCCUUGGUUAAUUCUUAAAUUUCCUCGUCAAACAUUUAAGUUUCGAGUACGACCUUACCAAAUAGGCCUAACUUGAAAUUUAACAAGUAUAACUUCUUCUCGAUCUUUCAUUCUUAACUUUUCUUCCAUUGGUUUUCAAUCCACAAGAUGAUACUCUUGGCAAACGUGCCAGAUAUUAAUCUUACUGUAGUCUUCUCACCAAGUGCUUCAGCUAGAACAAAUUUUACGAUCACCUUGAUCGUACAAUCAUGUUCAUUAAGCAAUACAAUUCACUUUCGCUGCCUCAUAUCAAAAUCCUUCCAAGUAAUGGAUAUUGAAGACUUUUUGGAUUCGUAAAAAUCUUGCAUUCUUACCAAAUAUAUAAUGUCUCCAUAACUUCACAGUAAGAAUGGUAAUCAUGACUUCCAAGUCACUCGUAGGGUAAUUCAUCUCAUGAGGUUCCAUUUAUCAUGAAACGUAUGCAAUCACCCUAACAUUUGCAUCAACAUGCCUCCAAUACCAUUCAAGAAACAUCACUAAAAAUUUAUGAUUACCACUAUUCUCUGGGAAUACCAAAUUACGUGCAUGAGUGAGGAAAUACUUCAGUUGUUGAAUCAUUUGCUCACAAUUUCCUUCCCACUCAUACAUAACCUCUUUUCUCAACAGUCUCGUUAAUGACAAAGCAAUGACUAAAAAUUCUUUCACAACCAUCCAAAAUAGCCUGGUAAGCUAAGAAAUUCCAAAUCUCAAUUACGACUCGUGGUUGUUCCAAAUUCUCAAUUUCUGCUAUCUUUUAAGAAUUCAUUUGAAUACCUUAAGCAGAUAUAACCAAUCUCAGAAUGCCACUUGAUUCAUCCAACAUUCGCAUUUGCUAAACUUAGCAUACAACCAACGUUCUCUCAAUCUUUGCUUCACCGACUUAAUACGUUUACAUGCUCUGCUCUGGCUCAGAAUAUGCCAGAAUAUCUUCAAUGAAAAUGAUAUCAAUUUAUCAAGGCAUUAUUGGAAUACUUCAUCCAUCAACUCAUAAAACAGCAUGAGUAUCCAUAUAGCAUCACCAAACUUCAUAAAGACUAUAACAAGUCCAGAAAACCAUCUUAUGAUCAACGUCACUUAUAAUAUUCAAUUGGUAGAACCAGAUCUCAAUUCAAUCUUUGAAUCUUCGCAAUUACUUCUGAGCUGGUUAAAUAAACAUCAGUACAUCACCAUGGAUAACGGUUCUCAAUCGUUACCCGACUCCAUUGUCUAUAAUCAAUGAACAAUCUCAAGAUCCAUUUUUCUUCCUCACCAACAAACUGGGCUCCUCAAAAGUGUUGUACUAGGUUGAAUAAAACUUUUAUCAACCAAUUCUCUCAACUGAAUUUCCAAUUCCCUUAACUCAUCCUGAACCAAUCUCCAAUAUAAAUUUAUACCUGGCAACAAAUCAAUAAUGAACCUCAUAUCUCUGCCUGAAGGCAAUCCAGGUAUACUUUCAAGGAAGACAUCAAGAAAAGUCUAACUCUUUCGACAUUAUUCACACUACUCCAAACAACAUCAUUUAGCACCACAUGAGCUAAGUAUUUUUGACAGCCUUUCGAAAACAAUCUCUUUGCUCUCACAGCAUAAAUAACAGCCUGACUCAAUCCAUUUUGCAUACUUACAAAAGUAAUCUCUGUUCAUCCAUAUCGAUGGAAAGUACUGGUUUCCCGUAACAUUCCGUCUUGUCACAAUUAUAACCAACCAAUCUAAUGGAACAGAAUUAACUGAUACAAUAUAUAUUCUAUUAUUAUUAAGCAUUCUAAAUAAGUACAAUACUAACAUAAAAUAAUCUACCGGUUUGCUUGCUUAACGAAUCCACGAAUGAGUUAUUAAUAUUACGGUCUGCAGCCCGCAAUACUGAUAAAUCAUCGUUGUCUCGAUAAGUAGGCAACCACUCUCAAAGAUAUAACAUUACUAUUUUGUUACUCAAUGCAAAAUACAUACACUCGUCUCAACUACAUUUAUUUACUACUCUCUAGGUAAUAACAUACAUAAUAAGAAAUAUAUCAGCCGAAGUCAACUAGAAUGACCAAUACGGCUGAUUCAACUCUUAUCUCAAUAAUACGUCGGCCGGAUCCACUCCGCGUGGUCGGUAUGGCUGAGCCUAUAACUCACCAUUUCUCAUGUGUCAAUCGAAUCCACUUCUCAUGGUCUGUACGACUGAACAUAUAACUCAUCAAAUCUCUCUGUACUCACAGUCAAUCCGACCAAACUACUAAAUUCAUAAACUUGUUGAAUCAACACUAUGAUAUCAUGGAAAAUUGUUGAGUACAACUGAUUCUAGGGACGAUUCACAAUUCUGUGUCCCCUCUGUUCACAUAAACACAUUCAUUAAUUUCACAUUUCCCAAAGUGUUAAUUUUUUUUUUUUUUUUUUUUUUUUUUUUUUUUUUUUUUUUUUUUUUUUUUUUUUUUUUUUUUUUGUACCUGCUGCACAAGGUACAUUUCCUUUACUCGAGACACCUUGUCUCAAAUAUCUGGGAUUACCAGUAUAUCCAUCACUUUUACUCUGACCAGCGACAUUAAAACCUCAGCUGGAAGAAUUAACUCUAGCUUCACUUCUUUCGAAGCUCUGAAUCUUUCUAUAUCCUUGAUAUGACGAAUCAUUGACUUUAUCGUCUUCUUUUGAGUCUCAUUCAUUUCUUAUUCUUCUUUAUUCUCGUUGCUCAUGUUCUCAGAGUCCUCAAGACUCAACAGCAUCUCGCAUACUCCUGAUAAGAAUUACAAUGGAUAGUGGUCACCCAAAAUACCACUUCCCUUUUGCCACCCAGCCUAAAACAACAUAACACCUCCACCAAAUUCACAACAAUAUCUGGAUAGAACGAGGCAAGUCUGAAAACUUUCUAUAAUAUCCCUCGAUCAUCACCUUCCUUGUCUCAUAUUUGUAAACUCUUGUUUACCACCAUCGAUAAAUGCCGGAGGGAUAAACUUUUCCUUUAAACAAGUCCUUAAACAAUUCUCAAUCGACUGAUUCCUAUGGUGACAACAAUUCAUACUCCUGUUUCCACCAGGAUACAAAUUCAUAACCAAAACCAGGUAGUCGUCUCGACCCCUUGUCAGAAGGAAAUUUCCUUUGACUUGCAUAAUCUGAAACAUCUUUUCCAAUUGGUUAAACCGUUACUUCGCUCCCUCAGGUUCAUCAUUUCAUAAGGUGAUUCAAAUUCAACUCAUAACCCAUCUUAAAAUGUCCCUUUUUAUAAUAGACUGAAUCACCAUAAUAAUAGUUUUCCCUAAACCGCUAUAUUAGGGAGACUAAAUUCCUCUAACUACGUGGUUUGCUACGAGGCGGUGUAGUUCUGACAGAAUUCACUAUAAACUUCUCAAGAUGUCCAAGAUUGCAACCAUGCUCUGAUACCAACUGACAUACCCCAUCCCGAAGGAGGGCAUGCUGGCCGUCACGUGAGAGUGACGUAACCAUUUGCACAGUACGGAAGCUUUAAGAUACAAUUUAAGUUGAUACACCCGAAGGUGAGUCCUAAUUUUGUCCAAUCUGUCAGAACACCGUCGAAUUCCUCGUAGUCACCACACCUUUGUGAUUCCUGAACCUGGAGGGGCGCAAAACCAAAAUUGAGUGGGUCAGUAAAACAAUUCUUUUCCAAAUCCAAACAAUUUUCAAAACGUUGUAACCCCUCUCCGUAAAACCUGUAUAUUUUCCCAGAAAUGUAAAAUAUAAAUAUACAUAUAUAUUCUCAAAACUUCAAGUCGUUAACUCAACAUUUUCAUAACAAUUAUGCCAUGCCACAUCAUCUCAACAUUUCUCAUAUUAAUUAUGCCAUGCCACAUCAUCUCAACAGUAAUAAGGUAUGAAUGCAUCAACAUAAUCAUAUCAGGUGCAAGAAAGUAAUCAACCGUAGGCCCUCUAAUAGCCCUGUACGGUUGAACCUAGAGCUCAAAAUCUAUCAUUAUCACUCUACCGGAGUCACCUCUGUGACCCGUCCGGCCUUCUGCACACAAGUUACGCUCUAGUGCUUCUCAUAAGUCAUCUGUGCACAUAAUCUAAGGUCACCCACCAGUCGGAAUCUCACUAACACUCUCGCGACUGGUCUGUCGUACCCACUCCGCGUGGACUGUACGACUAGCAUCUACUUGGAUCCAAGGCGAGCGUGCGAUGCGGUGAAUACUAUAAGCACUAAACCAUGGUGCAGGAUUUGAGCUCAAUAUAUAUCAUCAUCAUAAUAACAGUAAUUAAAUUCUUACCUGUGCGUCCACCGCACCAAUUCAUACAUAUGCAUCAUAAAUCAAUUCUUACCUGUGCGUCCACCGCACCAAUUCAUACAUAUGCAUCAUAUAUUAAUUCAUGCAUGGCAUUUCAACUCACAUUUCUAUAUACUUUUCAUAUCAAUUCUAUGCAUGGUAUUUCACUUCCCGUUUUUCCACAUAACUCAUAUGCAUUUCAUUUUAAACAUAUUUUCAUUUCAAUUCAAUUUCUGGGAAACGUCAAGUAUAUAUAUAUACGGAAAACAAAACUGCCCACUCACCUGGAGUUCGCCCUACAACUCCCUAGCACAAUACGCCAAGGCGUCAUGACGAUCGCCGCCUAGAAUAGUAAUCAAAUCCAGGCUCAGAAUUCAUAUCGAUAAAAUAUAACUUAUAUAAAAUACGUCACUACGUAGUUCGAUCCGGAAGAUCUGCCACUCAGAUUUUAAAUCCAUAACUUCCAGAGGUCCACAAUAUAUCUCUAGGAUAACAUCCUAAAAUUUCAUUACCAUCCAACGGUUGGAUCUCCGUCAAUUUCCAAAACUAAGUGACGGUUAACAUUUUAUAUUAUGGACUUACAAUUCCAAUUCCGGAAGAUCCGUAACUCGGAUUCCCAAUCCGUAAGUUCCAAUAAUCCUCAAAUAUUACGUAUUACAACGUAUCAAAGUUUGGUGACAAUCCAACGGUCGGAUCAUCAAUUCACAUUUUCACCAAAACUAUAAAACGUUAUUCGAACACCUAACCAACAAUCCUUAAUAACUUUCUCAUACGGUGUUCAAUUUAGGUAUAUGAAUAUACCACAGUGAUCUACUCGACGUCACGGACGUCGACAUAUUUUUAAAAUAUUUUUAUUUUUAUUUUUUUAUUUUACUGUAGCACCAUCUUCUUCCUUGGGUCGCCGGACUGGUUUUUCCGGCGGCCGUUUUCCGGGCAGUUUUUCAAAUUGCCAUAACUUUGUCAUUUCUCAACGAAAUCAAGUGAUUCAAAAACGAAAGUUGUAGCCCUUGAAGAGACAAAGAGAAUGGUACCUUGCACAACACCUAGUUCGCCGUGGUUUGGCCGGAAACUGCCUCGAAAGCCUCGGAGGUCGCCGGAAACUGGGUAUUUUUCAAAUGAGUAUAACUUCUUCAAUACUCAACGAAAUUGAGUGAAACAAAAAGGAAAGUUGUAGUACUUGACGAGACGAAGAGAUUGAUACCUACCUCGACUCUUAACUCGCCGGGGAUUCGCCGGAAAAAGCCUCGAAAGCUCCGGCCAAACUUUGAACUUGUCGAUCUCAGUGUUCUUACGUCCAAAAACUUCCCACGAAGCACUCCGAGCUUCCUUGGGACCUCACUAAGCUCACUAUAAGCUUAGAAUUCCCUGAAACACAACAUUUUACGUUCACAUGAACAGUGACCAAAAAUGGAGGUUCGGGUUUCACAUGAUUCCGAAGGUUUCACUUCCUAAAACUAGUACCAAUGAACUCAGAAUGACGAAAGGAUGAAGAUGCAUACCUUAGUUGCCUCGAUCCGUCGAGUUUUGGAGGAUUUGGGUGUAUGCCGUACGUUUUGGGUGAGAGAGAGUGAGAGAGAAAGAGGAAGUCGUGAGGGAGGAGAGAGAAUGAACUGAGAGAGAGACAAGGUACGGGAAAGAGGGAGAAAAUUGAGGGGUGUGGGAUCCUACCCAAUCCCCAACUACAAAAUUCUAACAUAAAUUUAAAUCUAAGUCUCCACUCUACUUACCAAAUUUUAGGAGCUUAGAUAUAACGAACAUAAAAAUUAUACCUUAGCCACGUAUUAGGGGCAUUUUCGUAAUUUCACAUCCUCGGAAUUAAAAAUUCCGGGACGGGCUGUGACA